rnacentral:rRNA from 1 species
UACAGAGGUCUCAAGCGUUGUUCGGAUUCAUUGGGCGUAAAGGGUGCGUAGGUGGCGCUGUAAGUCGGGUGUGAAAAUUUCGGAGCUUAACUCCGAAAACUGCAUUCGAUACUGCGGUGCUUGAGGACUGGAGAGGAGACUGGAAUUCAUGGUGUAGCAGUGAAAAUGCGUAGAGAUCAUGAGGAAGACCAGUGGCGAAGGCGGGGUCUCUGGACAGUUCCUGACACUGAGGCACGAAGGCCAGGGGAGCAAAACGGG